AUUGAACGCUGGCGGCAGGCCUAACACAUGCAAGUCGAGCGGUAACAGAACUAGCUUGCUAGUUGCUGACGAGCGGCGGACGGGUGCGUAACACGUAGGAAUCUGCCCGGUAGUGGGGAUAGCCCGGAGAAAUCCGGAUUAAUACCGCAUACGCACUCUCUUUUAUAAGAGGGUGGAAAGAUGGCCUCUUCAAGAAAGCUGUCGCUAUCGGAUGAGCCUGCGUCGGAUUAGCUAGUUGGUAGGGUAAAGGCCUACCAAGGCAACGA
rnacentral:rRNA from 1 species